UGCUGAAAAGACUGAGAGAGACUGAGGAAGAGAGAGAGUGAGGAAGACGACAAGACGUCGACGGUCGACUGGAGUCUGGAGAUUUACAGUCGUCGGAGCCGACGACGACGACCGGUGAGGAGCGAAGACAAGUCACGAACACUCGAAGUCUCGAAUAGGAAGCGAAGAGUUGCGAGUCCUGCGACGGCCGACGGCUGAAGCGAAGCGAAACCGCGCACCGCCACCUACACCGCCGACGCGUCUCCGUCGUCGACUAUCCGACUCGCCGGCCGCCAUUACAUUUUUCAGACAGUUUAAUGGAGUUAAUGUUGGAGGAGAAGGAUGCAAGUGAUUGGAUUUAUAGAGGAGAAGGAGCCGUUAAUCUAGUUCUUGCCUACUCUGGAUCUUCUCCUGCUUUUAGUGGAAAAAUAAUACGGGUGCAGAAGGCUUUGAGGAAUGGGUCAAAUUAUGAUACUGGAAGCUCUGUUGUGUCCAAGCAUGAAUGCAUCGUUUGGAAAGAUGAUGGAGCUAUUGUUACAUCCCCAAACAGGGAAAUUGCUGAACAGUUGUAUGUAAAGUGUGUGAUGAUCCCACUGUUAGGAUCUGAGUUUGUUGAUCCUGGGGUACGAAUUCUGGUCUCAAGGGAAUUUUUGGAGUCGGUUGAAAGAAAUGUUCUCUUCCAGCGCCCAGGUUGGAGAGUAAAAGCUGCCAGAGUUGAUUCUUGUGCUGAUUCUGUGCUGCUAAUGUCAGAUCAUUCAGUAUAUCCAGAUAGCACAUUCAAAGGAGUACCGUGCAUAUCUGUGGAAAUUAAGCCCAAGUGUGGCUUUCUUCCAUCUUCAAGCUUUAUAGCUGAUGAAACUUCCAUCAAGAAGGAUGUCACUCGUUUUAAAAUGCACCAAGUUCUCAAGCUGCAACAACUUCAGGUACAACAGUUGAGCGAAUAUGAUCCCUUGGAUUUAUACUCUGGAUCAAGGGAACGGAUACAUAAAGCUCUCAAGGCUCUCUGUGCAACUCCACAGAAUAAUCUGCGUGUUUUUCUUAAUGGUUCGCUAAUAUAUGGGACAAACCUUGUUAAAGCUGAAGCAUUUGAAGAUCACCUUAAAUCUUUCAUACACGGAGAAGAUGGGUUGCGUACAAGUAGUUUUGUGCAUCUUGUAAUUGAAGCAAUAGUUAAAUUAGGUGUACUUGAUAGGCUACUUGAAGUCCAAAAGCUUGACAAAUUUGAUGUGGAAGGGGCGAUUCAUGCUUACUAUGAUGUUGUUUCAGAGCCCUGCAAGAUAUGUAGAGAUUCUGGUGAAUCUGGGAAAUUAGAAAAAUAUAGCUCGUUGCAUGCCAUUUCUUUAGAGGAGAGUGUGAAGAUUGUAAGGGACUACUUAAUAGCUGCAACAGCUAAGGACUGUAGUCUAAUGAUUAGUUUCCGUCCAAGGGAAGAUGAUGAUCCAGAAUCCCACUAUAGAACCAUAUGCCUAGAAUCAACAAAGCAAAGGUUCGAUGUCAAGGCAUAUUUUAUCGACCUUGAUAUGAAGCCCCUGGAAAAGAUGGAAUUUUACUAUGAGCUGGAUCAGAAGAUAGUUAAGUGUUACAAGCAGAUGGUCAAAGUAGAGCGUGGUGCUGCAAAAACUGGAACCAUUGAGGGGUAUGAAACUGGAUAUUGAUAUUGAAAACGUCUUCUUCAAACAUUUUGCUGAGUAAGGAUUAUGGUGGAUUAGUUUUAAUUGACACCACUGUAUCCUUGCUCAACCUUCAAGAAAAUGUUAUAUCUUAGAAAACUGUAGUGUCAGUGGAUCAGACAGAAGGUGAUGGAGCAAAUUGUAGCUGCUCUAAAAGGGAUAACUUUGUUAGUCUUGUCAUUCGAAAAUGCAGUAACAGUUAUAUAGAAAAAUAGGAGUAAGUAGAACAAGAAGAGGUUUGUAGAUGAAACUAAUAUUGGCUACCUUGCUCUUUUUCCUGUACAUGUUAGUCGCUGUGCAGUCUUGUAAACAGGGUUGUCCGUUGUAGAUGCGAUUAUUUUGACAAUAUAUGAAUUCAUCAACCAAAUGUUGUUUUAAUCUUUUGAUAAUUAGGUUUUUAUGCUGUUUUAAAGGUAAUUUUGACCUGGAGGGGGUUGUAGUUUUUCUUUAUGAUUGUACGUAAUAACUUUUUUUAGUUUAAA